rnacentral:rRNA from 1 species
CCUACGGGUGGCUGCAGUGGGGAAUAUUGGACAAUGGGCGAAAGCCUGAUCCAGCCAUGCCGCGUGUGUGAAGAAGGCCUUCGGGUUGUAAAGCACUUUCAGUGGGGAAGAAAGCCUUGGGGCUAAUACCCUCGAGGAAGGACAUCACCCACAGAAGAAGCACCGGCUAACUCCGUGCCAGCAGCCGCGGUAAUACGGAGGGUGCGAGCGUUAAUCGGAAUUACUGGGCGUAAAGCGCGCGUAGGCGGUCUGAUAAGCCGGUUGUGAAAGCCCCGGGCUCAACCUGGGAACGGCAUCCGGAACUGUCAGGCUAGAGUGCAGUAGAGGAAGGUAGAAUUCCCGGUGUAGCGGUGAAAUGCGUAGAGAUCGGGAGGAAUACCAGUGGCGAAGGCGGCCUUCUGGACUGACACUGACGCUGAGGUGCGAAAGCGUGGGUAGCAAACAGGAUUAGAUACCCCAGUAGUC